AAAGGCCCCUUCGGGGGCCGAGUAGAGUGGCGUCCGGGUGAGUAACACGUGAGUAAUUUGCCUUCGGGUGGGGAAUAACAACCGGAAACGGUUGCUAAUACCGCAUAACGCAGCGGCACCUAAUGGUGACAGUUGUUAAAGCGGGGGAUCGUAAGACCUCGCGCCUGGAGAGAAGCUCGCGGCGGAUUAGCUAGUUGGUAGGGUAACGGCCUACCAAGGCGACGAUCCGUAGCCGGCCUGAGAGGGCGGUCGGCCACACUGACACUGACACACGGGUCAGACUCCUACGGGAGGCAGCAGUCGGGAAUUUUGGGCAAUGGGCGAAAGCCUGACCCAGCAACGCCGCGUGAAGGAUGAAGUUUUUCGGAAUGUAAACUUCACAAGAAUGGGAAGAAUAAGGAGGGGUUAAUACCCCCUCCGAUGACGGUACCAUUUGUAAGCUCCGGCUAACUCCGUGCCAGCAGCCGCGGUAAUACGGGGGGAGCAAGCGUUGUUCGGAUUUACUGGGCGUAAAGGGCGCGUAGGCGGCGCAACAAGUCACUUGUGAAAUCUCCGGGCUUAACUCGGAGCGGCCAAGUGAUACUGUCGUGCUAGAGUGCGGAAGGGGCAACUGGAAUUCUCGGUGUAGCGGUGAAAUGCGUAGAUAUCGAGAGGAACACCUGCGGCGAAGGCGGGUUGCUGGGCCGACACUGACGCUGAGGCGCGAAAGCCAGGGGAGCGAACGGGAUUAGAUACCCCGGUAGUCCUGGCCUUAAACGAUGGAUGCUUGGUGUCCGGGGUUACAUAGUCCCCGGGU
rnacentral:rRNA from 1 species